ACGGAAGGCAGCAGUGGGGAAUAUUGCACAAUGGGCGAAAGCCUGAUGCAGCGACGCCGCGUGAGUGAAGAAGUAUCUCGGUAUGUAAAGCUCUAUCAGCAGGGAAGAAAAUGACGGUACCUGACUAAGAAGCCCCGGCUAACUACGUGCCAGCAGCCGCGGUAAUACGUAGGGGGCAAGCGUUAUCCGGAUUUACUGGGUGUAAAGGGAGCGUAGACGGUUUGGCAAGUCUGAAGUGAAAUGCGGGGGCUCAACUCCUGAACUGCUUUGGAAACUGUCGAACUAGAGUGCAGGAGAGGUAAGUGGAAUUCCUAGUGUAGCGGUGAAAUGCGUAGAUAUUAGGAGGAACACCAGUGGCGAAGGCGGCUUGCUGGACAGUAACUGACACUGAGGCUCGAAAGCGUGGGGAGCAAACAGGAUUAGAUACCCUGGUA
rnacentral:rRNA from 1 species